rnacentral:rRNA from 1 species
GAUGAACGCUGGCGGCGUGCUUAACACAUGCAAGUCGAACGGAAAGGCCCAAGCUUGCUUGGGUACUCGAGUGGCGAACGGGUGAGUAACACGUGGGUGAUCUGCCCUGCACUUCGGGAUAAGCCUGGGAAACUGGGUCUAAUACCGGAUAGGACCACUUCUUGGAUGUUGUGGUGGAAAGUUUUUUCGGUGUGGGAUGAGCUCGCGGCCUAUCAGCUUGUUGGUGGGGUAAUGGCCUACCAAGGUGUCGACGGGUAGCCGGCCUGAGAGGGUGUACGGCCACAUUGGGACUGAGAUACGGCCCAGACUCCUACGGGAGGCAGCAGUGGGGAAUAUUGCACAAUGGGCGCAAGCCUGAUGCAGCGACGCCGCGUGGGGGAUGACGGCCUUCGGGUUGUAAACUCCUUUCGCUAGGGACGAAGCGUUUUGUGACGGUACCUGGAGAAGAAGCACCGGCUAACUACGUG